GCGGAUAUGGCGGAACUGGCAGACGCGUUAGAUUCAGGUUCUAAUGGGGGCAACCCCAUGGAGGUUCAAGUCCUCUUAUCCGCACCA
rnacentral:tRNA from 1 species